CUUUGCAGGGGUUGGUUGUGCUCAGCUUGGGGCAUGAGCAUGGUGGCAUCGUGGGACACUGUCUCAGUCUGUGACUUGAAGGUUAUGAGCUCGGGGAAGAGACAGUUAAAGCUUCCUCACGCCAGCGAGAUGAGUUGUACCACACAGCGCCCAUGCCAGUUCAUCAGUCUGGAUGGAGCUGAGACACUUACCGGCUGUGCCAGGCAGCGCCAGACACCUCUGGAAGCCCCUGACUAGGACCCCAAAUUUAGAUUCGUGCUGCAGCCUGGGGAUGUUUUGACGUCUGCCUGGCUACGGGGAAAAGCGCACUGCACACAGCCCCUAAGACAAGACAGAGCUCUCAGGGCUGAGAGUCUGAGGAAACCGGACCUGGCAGGGCUGCUCAGAUAUUCAGCUUCCUGUGGUGAAUGGAGCCGCCCACGUCACCAAUGGUCAGCAGGCUCCAGGAUGACUAUCUCUGUUAUCUAGUACCCUACCUCUGUGACAUGUGAAGAACCCAAUCUGGUUUCCAGUGUCACAGCAGAGCCCGACGGAUGCCCCAUUCUUCAAUGUCUGCACUCCCUUAACAAUUGGAUCUGUUUUCGUUUGUGGUUCUUGGCAUUUAUCAAGACUCUAAUGACUAAAUCUGAAAACAGCGUUGAUAACACAAUUCAUAAAUUAGCUUUUUGAGCUAUCAUUAUGAUGUCGUUUCCUCUUUUUUUGUGGCCAAAAAUGUGUUCUGUCUUGCCUUUGCAUCGUGAGACCCAAGGCAGAAGUGUCCAGACAACUAACUAGGAGGUAACUCAAGCUGCUGCGUUUGAAAGCUGUGACUUCACUGAGGGGGAAGCUGUAGAGAUGAAGACCCUUCCAUGGUAAAGUAUGAGUGCAUCUGGACCAUGGGAAUAACAUGUCUUUGGACAAGGCAAUGGAUGGUUCUUGUUGAUACCACCUGGUUGCUAUUGGGUGAAUCUCUGGAAUAAGCACUUUGCUAACACACAGGGUCCUGGAAGGCAUAGGGGUCUUGAGUACACUGCUCCUAGGGGCAGCAGUGAUCUGGACACAGGGAGCAGAGGAGGCCCUCUGCUUCUACUGGAACCAUCAUUCCAUGCACAGAAAGGGUCUGUGUUGGACUUGGCUGUAAUGCUUCCUGUCUACAGGGAUGGCGUGUUCCUGGAGGAACACUGAAGUCAGCGAAGACAGCACAACUCUUCCUCAGAGUUUGGAUCAUUCUGAACUACAUGGAAUUCUGUUCAAGUCCAGGAGGAGUGGCUCAAAGCGAGGCUGUGAUUAAGUGGGUUGAAGACAAAUUAGGAUCGUAUUUUAUUUAACCAGAAGAAAUGGCAGCACAGUGGAUUUCGUGUUCUUUGGAAAUCUGUCCAGUCAAUGCUGGUAUUGAAAGGAAGGGGCAGAGAAGACACUUCCGGACAAGCAAAAGCAGAUGUGGACUUGGCUUUGUGAGUCAUGGCAGGGAGGACCCAGCACAGUAGUGAUGGUCUCUGGAAACUUCUAGACAAACAAAUGUGGGUGUCCUUUGUCAGAUCCCUGUGAGUGGGUACUGCAGAAGACUUCUGGUGUUUUCUGUGGAUAAAUGCUCACACAAAGCUCUUUAUUACUGUAAUACAAUCACACUACAACAUGCUUUAUAACUUUCAUUUGUUUUAAUAGUUGCAUUAGUAACUUUGCUCUUGCCUGAAUCCUAA